rnacentral:rRNA from 1 species
CGGCGUGCUUAACACAUGCAAGUCGAACGCGAAAGGGACUUCGGUCCUGAGUAAAGUGGCGCACGGGUGAGUAACGCGUAGAUAACCUGUCUUCAUGUCUGGAAUAAUACGCCGAAAGGGGUACUAAUACCGGAUAUUCUUGCUUUUCAUAAGUUAUGCAAGCAAAGGUGGCCUCUGCAUAUGCUACUGCAUGAAGAGGGGUCUGCGUACCAUUAGCUAGUAGGUGGGGUAAUGGCCUACCUAGGCGACGAUGGUUAGCGGGUCUGAGAGGAUGAUCCGCCACACUGGCACUGGAACACGGGCCAGACUCCUACGGGAGGCAGCAGUGAGGAAUAUUGCGCAAUGGGGGAAACCCUGACGCAGCGACGCCGCGUGAGUGAAGGAAGGCCUUCGGGUCGUAAAGCUCUGUCAAGAGGAAAGAAGUGUACAAUGGCUAAUACCUGUUGUAUUUGACGGUACCUCUAAAGGAAGCACCGGCUAACUCCGUGCCAGCCGCAGC